GGUGAAAGAUUUAUCGUCUGAAGAUGGGCUCGCGGCUGAUUAGCUAGUUGGUAGUGUAAGGGACUACCAAGGCGACGAUCAGUAGCUGGUCUGAGAGGAUGAGCAGCCACACUGGAACUGAGAAACGGUCCAGACUCCUACGGGAGGCAGCAGUGGGGAAUUUUCCGCAAUGGGCGAAAGCCUGACGGAGCAAUACCGCGUGUGGGAGGAAGGCCCUUGGGUUGUAAACCACUUUUAUCAGGGAAGAAGCUCUGACGGUACCUGAUGAAUAAGCAUCGGCUAACUCCGUGCCAGCAGCCGCGGUAAUACGGAGGAUGCAAGCGUUAUCCGGAAUCAUUGGGCGUAAAGCGUCCGUAGGUGGUUUGUCAAGUCUGUCGUCAAAGAAUGGAGCUUAACUCCAUAAAGGCGGUGGAAACUGAGGGACUAGAGUUCGGUAGGGGUAGCGGGAAUUCCCAGUGUAGCGGUGAAAUGCGUAGAUAUUGGGAAGAACAUCGGUGG
rnacentral:rRNA from 1 species